CGUGUAGAAGAGGGAGAGAGCACAGGUUGGGAAGGCACUGCGUCUGUGGACCAGGCCUUGCUCCCCCAACGACCACCCUGCAGUCCCCUCUGUUCCAUCCUUUUUCUGCAGAGUUCAUGCCAUUGCCAGAUCAGGGCAGUCAACAGGGAGAGGGAGUUUCCCUUGUGAUCUCUGCCAGGGCACCUUGCCUGGGGUGCUGAGGGCUGUCCAGACCCCACAGCUGGCUUCCCUGGGCCCCAAGGGACUUGAGCAUGCCUUUGGACGCCCUUAGCCUCCCCCGCUGUUCUUUUCCUAAGUGUGCCCUGAAAAAAAUCUCAUGCAAAAGAGUCAAACUGUGGUUGCUGUUUGCUGGCCACCUGUCCUGAUGACAAGAGGAAAUUGGGUUACCCCGCUGGACCUCAAGUCUUCACUUCUUCCCCAAAAGUUGCAGGUGUGCAGCAUACUAUCUUUAACCCUGUGGCUGUCACAGGAGCACUUGACAAGGCUGUGCACCCAUUUGUGUGGGGCAUGAUGACCAGGUCAUCUCCAACCCAUCUGUUGAUAAGCACAGUUUCACAUUCUCUGUGUUUUCUCGGGCAUUUUGUCUCAAGCGGUGGGCAUGCGCUGUCUUGUUUAUGGAAACAGGCAUACCUCAUGUCUACAAAGGACAAAAAAAAAAAAGGCUUUGAGGGAAAACCUCAGUUCCUUCCUGCUGGGGGACCAUGCUGCAGGACUUUGUCAGUUUUGUACUCACUGUUUUACUAUUUGUUUUAGGGCUACAGCGAGUAGGCAUCCAAUUUUAAAUGCACAUCAGGGCUUUCAAAAGACUUUUAAUGUACAGUGGCUGGUGCAGUUCCUUUGCAUUGUAAAAUUGCACCGUUUCUUACGGUUCAUGUGUAUUUGCAGUAAGAGUCUAACCUUCAAACUCUGUUCUCAACAGGAUUUAUGUUUGCUUUGGAAUCUUCCUUGAACAUUAUUUAUCCUUAUAUCACCUGGUUUGUGGACACAGUGAUAAGAUCUCAAGCUGACAUCAUGGUUGUUGGGUGUCUAGGAUCUUGCUUGUGUUAGGGAUACUUUUUCAGGGCUGAGUAUUUGUCAUGGGCUCCUUCCCUGUCAAUUAACCAGAACUAACAACAGAUAUUCUGUACUGUGCCUGUUUUUUACAGCUGACAUGGAAACAGAAAUGGUGGGCCUCAUCACCUCCAGAGCUAGAAACGUACUGUGUGAUGAGUAUGUUGAUUAGCAUCAGGAAACUUUUAACUUGUAGGUAGUAUUCUUUGUUACUAGAAUGUAAUCUUUUAUACCUUGGCCUGAUGCCAUGGGAUAUAUUUAUUUUAAAAUAUUCUUCACUUUUCCCAACUAGUAAAUUAUGUUUAUAGAGAUAUAGUUAGUGAUACAGGUAAGAUAGUAGUAGUAGCACUGCUAAUUAUAUUAUUGUACAUAAAAAGUGAUAUCAAUAUUUUCAAGUACCAUUAAUAGUCCUAAAUGGUGUCAGAUACAGCCACCUUUGAUUUAAAUAUAGCUUGUAAACCUUGCCAAACCUUUUCCUCUUCUACAGAUUUUCAAGUUUUCAUUGGCUCUCAUUUUUGUUUAAAGGGAAACAGAAUCACUUAGAAGAACCAACAUAUCUGCAUUUAUAACAGUGGCUUUGGGGACACAGUUGGCACCUGCCCUCCUAGAUGGCCUGGGUAAAUGGCUGUUCUGUCUGGUUGGCUAAAGACAUAAACUAAUCUUGUGCACUGUUCCUCAUGUGGAGGAGAUGCUCAAGAUGGAUGUGUGUGUACACACACCACUGACUCUGAUGAUGACCACACACUUAGCAAUCUUUCGUUUUGCUUUUCCUUGAUAGAAGCCAGUGUUCUCCAAUGGCAUCUCCAGCUUUUAAGUGGCUGCCAUAUGUGUUUUGCAUUGCUCCCCAUGUAGGAGAAGAAUGUACAAGAAGAAACUAAAGCCAGAACUGAAUUUGAGACUCAGCGUUUAUUGUUUUCUCUCUUGGACCAUGCCACAUGGCAUGUGGUAUCUUAGUUCCUUGACCAGGGAUCAAACCUGGGCCACAUCUGUGGAUGUGCAGAGUCCUAACCCAUACUGGACUGCCAGAGAAUUCUGAAGACCUACUGUCUAUUGUAUCCAUCUGGAAGUUCUCAAUUCGAGAACUAUUGAAGCUGUACUUGAAGGGUUUUGAGCAUAACCUUACUAGCAUGGGAAGUAAGCACAAUUGUUUGUGUGUUACCAGAUGUGCAUUUAUUGAGCAGCUAGUAAGUGCAAGGGGCUGUGAAAAAUAAACACAUGACUAAGACAUUGACUUUGCCUUCAAGGAAUUUACACUCUGGUCAGAGAGAUGAGACAGCUCACAAUCACAUAAAAGUAGACAGAGUUAAGAGCUGUUACCAGGAGCUUCAAAGAGCCUGCUGGGAAAUCAAAGGAAGGGCUGCUCCCUUCCCAUGCAGAAUGGCCCUGAGAUUGACUUUGUCCAUGAGGAGAUAAGGAAGGACAGUUUAAGUAGAAGCUACAGAGGGAAAAAGGCAAAAUAUCUAUAUCUAUAUCUAUAUCUAUAUCUAUAUCUAUAUCUAUCUCCAGGGAGCUGUUGCAUAUUCAUUUGGCUGGCUGCAAGAGAGGGACUGUGACAGGAGACCGUGGGUCCAUGGUGUGUGUGUGCCUGAGUGUGUAUGUGAGUAGGGAGCUGUUGGCUGCAGGCAGACAGUAGCAGAAGGUGAGGGUAGCAUGCAGCAUUGUGGCCACACUGUUAGCAACCUUGGCUAUUCAGGCAGAGAAUGCAGACCCUAGGAGCUACUGUAAGUGAGCAGGGAGGGGCAUUAGACCUGUGGUCUAGGGCAAUUUCAUUUAUGUCCUGAGUCAGAGGGAUGGGACCAGGAAGUCCAGUUUGGCAACUAGUUGGAAAAGGGAAGGUGAUGGUUUUAGCAAUCAAUAUAUUUGUAAGUAUAGGCAUUCAGAACCUCCCUGUGGUUUUGGAAUGAGCCAUUUCUCCUCAGUGGAGGUUUUUGUCUGAAUAUAGUUGUUUGAAAGUGUAAUAUAAAUGAUCUGGAAUAGGGAACUAUGUGCGUGCUUGGGAUCCAUCCUGAUUGAAUGGGUCUCAAGCCCUAGUGGGCCUAAGGAUUGAGCCUGGAACCCUCGGGAGAAUUUUUGAUUCUCUGAUAUGGGGGGUGGCCCAGGCCUCUGCACAUGGGUCAUUCUGAGGCUCUGCCCUUGGCACGUUGAGAAAUAUUGUUCCUGGCCACUGUGCAUGUAAAAAGGCAUGUGUCCCUACCUACCAGUGACCCACCUGCCACAGAGGCCGGAGAGACCUGGACAUGUGGAGGACCAGUGCCCCUGCCAUGGGUCCCUGACUGUGCUAGGCGUCUUCUAUACCUUCUCUCGUUUCACUCCCACAGUGGUUCUGAGGAAGGAAAUUCUUUAUUCUCACCUUUCAGGAAGGCCUGUGAAUACUUUUCAAGAGCAGAGCUCCCAACAUACUUCCUAGAAGAAUGUGGGGUCAUUGAGCAGUGACCCAGGAAGUUUCCAUGAUGUGGGUCUGAUUCCCAGGCUCCUCUAUGAAGUUGGAUGUGUUCAAGAGAGAAAUGUUGACUUUUCAAGUGUCCAGGUUUAACCAAGUUCAAAGAAAAAAGCCCUUCCUUGGAAACAGGAUUUUAGCUGGAGGCAUUACCUUUGCUUUGGUGCUACCCAGCCAGCUAGCAGUGUCCCAAGAAGAGAACCCCACCUCCUCUUCAUCCUCCAUCUGUCACUCUUGUCUGCUCUCACUGCUGAGCUCUGGCCACUGGACGCCUCCUUGCGAUUUGAUCAGAGGCCAUGUGCUAAGCAGGACUACAGUGCUGUGUGGCCCGUUUGACUCAGUCCUCUUGCCAUUGCAAGUCUAUCGCGGUUGCCUAAAAUAGCUCAGCAAGCUUUGUGCUAUCUCCAUGUCAUGCUUUGGGACACUCCUGGGUUGGAGGGCCGAGAUCAAUUCCUUCUGUUCCUACCACCACCCACGGCCAUCGAACUGUGCCUCUGCCCAGUGGGUCUCACCAGCAGACAUCCUGUGGUGGGAGAAUGGAGAAAAUGUUUGAUUUCCAGACACUCCUUUCCAGUGA
ensembl:lncRNA